UUUGAACCUGGCUACAUGUUGUGU
rnacentral:piRNA from 1 species